AUUGAACGCUGGCGGCAGGCCUAACACAUGCAAGUCGAGCGGAUGAAGGGAGCUUGCUCCUGGAUUCAGCGGCGGACGGGUGAGUAAUGCCUAGGAAUCUGCCUGGUAGUGGGGGAUAACGUCCGGAAACGGGCGCUAAUACCGCAUACGUCCUGAGGGAGAAAGUGGGGGAUCUUCGGACCUCACGCUAUCAGAUGAGCCUAGGUCGGAUUAGCGAGUUGGUGGGGUAAAGGCCUACCAAGGCGACGAUCCGUAACUGGUCUGAGGGGAUGAGCAGUCACACUGGAACUGAGACACGGUCCAGACUCUGAGGGGAGGCAGAAGUGGGGAAUAUUGGAAAAUGGGCGAAAGCCUGAUCAAGCCAUGCCGCGUGUGUGAAGAAGGUCUUCGGAUUGUAAAGCACUUUAAGUGGGGAGAAAGGGCAGUAAGUUAAAACCUGGCUGUUUUGACGUAACCAACAGAAUAAGCACCGGUAAACUUCGU
rnacentral:rRNA from 1 species